rnacentral:lncRNA from 1 species
AAGUCCAAGUUCCGGAAUGAAACUAUGUCUUGGAAGCAUUUGUUGUAGGAUUUAACAAGUUCCUCGGUUCAGAUAAUUUCAUUCUAAGAUUAAACUUGAAUAUGGUGAACGGAACAUGUAAAGUGUGUCAACAUUGGACUAGAUUCUGGCUGAAAUCAAUACAAGAUUUAUGUGAAGCAUAGAGCUGGUUAACAAGCUCUCGUUUAGUUUUGGUGCGAUGCAGACGAGGUGCAGCAAAGC